rnacentral:rRNA from 1 species
CAGUCGCCGCGGGAACACGUAGGGUGCAAGCGUUAAUCGGAAUUACUGGGCGUAAAGCGUGCGCAGGCGGUUUUGUAAGACAGAGGUGAAAUCCCCGGGCUCAACCUGGGAACUGCCUUUGUGACUGCAAGGCUAGAGUACGGCAGAGGGGGAUGGAAUUCCGCGUGUAGCAGUGAAAUGCGUAGAUAUGCGGAGGAACACCGAUGGCGAAGGCAAUCCCCUGGGCCUGUACUGACGCUCAUGCACGAAAGCGUGGGGAGCAAACAGGAUUAGAUACCCCCGUAGUCCCUGUCUCUUAUAA